UAGAAUCUUUAAAAAAAGUGGCUAAACAACUGUAGGACACAAAACAUGACUUAUUAUGCUGUAUUGUCUUUUUAAAUGUAUCAGUCUGUUGCCUCUAAUAAGUAGGAACUUCUUUGAGGACAGGAACUGUACCAUAUUCAUCACGGUGUCCCCAGAGCUCACCCAGUGUCUGGGACUAAAGUAAAUCCCGGUAACUGCUGUUAUCAGGGAACAGCAGGCCUGGGACGUUGCCGGGCAUAUAAAAACGGGGCCGGGGCAGGAGAUUUAAAAGAUCAUGGCUGACUGGGGCCCAGGCCUCCCUUGAAUUUAAGUCCCCGCUGGCCUAACGACCAACUCACUAAACUACAGUUUGGGAUUGCUGGAAGGGAAAACAGUCUGACCUCAUUUGCAGUUGUUGAAAGCGGUUGCCACUGGCAAUAUAGAGAAGAGACAGAGAAUAUUUUAACCAAAUAUUAAAAGCCCCUGGAGGGACUUAACCAGGCCUUACUCAUUUCCGUGUGCUCCAUGUCACCCACAGUGGCCUGAACUCAGAAAUCAGUCAUAACAAGCGAUAAUAACAAUACCAUGCAUUCGAAUAAACAUUGAUAAUUUUCACUGUGUUCACAUUAAAAAAAUUUUUUUUCUGGUUCUCAAAACAGAGAACCAAAGACCUUGGGGUUUUGCUUCCUGGGAUGACAGUGCAGAGUAAAAGGUAGAAAAAUAGGAUGGGCGUGAUGUACACAGGAGGCCAUGACGAAAGUGAGCCCAAGCGUUAAGUCCGGAAAGUUCAAAGGUACAAUGCCCUGUGCAAAUCUUACUCGAUUGUCGUCUGAUCCAACACACCGGUGACUGGGAUCCCGUAAAACUGCUGCAUGGUGGAGACCGCUGACUGCAAGGCCUUCCCUGAGUGCAACGCAGAGGCCCGUGAAUCGUAGGGCAGCAGGUAGCCAUAUGACUUCAACCAGUUCUGAAAGACACGGGAAAGAGAGGAGGCAUUAUGCUGGAGAAGGCUCUGUUCUACCUGCAGGGGGUGGCCGUUGAGUACCAGGAACCAUUUUAUCCCAGGAGCUUAUGGCCUCACACUUCGGUUCUUCCUCCGCCACUCCCUCCCGCAGACAUGUCACAUUUGUCUCCAGAAAACACAGCUCUUGUUGGGUUCCUCUCCUGCUGCAAAGCUUUCACUGGGUCUCUCCUGACUACAGAAUCGAGCUGAAAUUUGCAUUCAGGGCUUCCUACCACCCUGACUCUUGGCUCAUUUAUUCAGUGGUUUUCACUGACGUAUGACUGGACAUGCAAGAGCAUAUGAACAGUUCAUUCACAGAAGUAAAAUGACCUGUUAAAAUGCACUUCCAGAGACCUGUGUCUAUAAUCAGAGUCUGAUGAAGACUCGUGCUGUAGAAUAUUUAUUGGCAUGAGAUUAUAUAUGCCCUUUAUUGCUAAUCCCUCCAGAAAAGCAAGCCAUU